UCCAGACUCCUACGGGAGGCAGCAGUGGGGAAUAUUGCACAAUGGGGGAAACCCUGAUGCAGCGACGCCGCGUGAGUGAAGAAGUAUUUCGGUAUGUAAAGCUCUAUCAGCAGGGAAGAAAAAAGACGGUACCUGACUAAGAAGCCCCGGCUAACUACGUGCCAGCAGCCGCGGUAAUACGUAGGGGGCAAGCGUUAUCCGGAAUUACUGGGUGUAAAGGGUGCGUAGGUGGCAUGGUAAGUCAGAAGUGAAAGCCCGGGGCUUAACCCCGGGACUGCUUUUGAAACUGUCAUGCUGGAGUGCAGGAGAGGUAAGCGGAAUUCCUAGUGUAGCGGUGAAAUGCGUAGAUAUUAGGAGGAACACCAGUGGCGAAGGCGGCUUACUGGACUGUCACUGACACUGAUGCACGAAAGCGUGGGGAGCAAACAGGAUUAGAUACCCCAGUACGC
rnacentral:rRNA from 1 species